rnacentral:rRNA from 1 species
GCAAUCUGCCCUUCACUCUGGGACAAGCCCUGGAAACGGGGUCUAAUACCGGAUAACACUCUGUCCCGCAUGGGNCGGGGUUAAAAGCUCCGGCGGUGAAGGAUGAGCCCGCGGCCUAUCAGCUUGUUGGUGGGGUAAUGGCCUACCAAGGCGACGACGGGUAGCCGGCCUGAGAGGGCGACCGGCCACACUGGGACUGAGACACGGCCCAGACUCCUACGGGAGGCAGCAGUGGGGAAUAUUGCACAAUGGGCGAAAGCCUGAUGCAGCGACGCCGCGUGAGGGAUGACGGCCUUCGGGUUGUAAACCUCUUUCAGCAGGGAAGAAGCGAAAGUGACGGUACCUGCAGAAGAAGCGCCGGCUAACUACGUGCCAGCAGCCGCGGUAAUACGUAGGGCGCAAGCGUUGUCCGGAAUUAUUGGGCGUAAAGAGCUCGUAGGCGGCUUGUCACGUCGGAUGUGAAAGCCCGGGGCUUAACCCCGGGUCUGCAUUCGAUACGGGCUAGCUAGAGUGUGGUAGGGGAGAUCGGAAUUCCUGGUGUAGCGGUGAAAUGCGCAGAUAUCAGGAGGAACACCGGUGGCGAAGGCG